GCCUUUGUGGUGUAGUGGUCAGCACGCUCGGUGCAUACUCGUGAGUCCGUGGUUCAAGUCCCGGCGAAGUCA
rnacentral:tRNA from 1 species